GACGAACGCUGGCGGCGUGCUUAACACAUGCAAGUCGAACGGAAAGGCCCUGCUUUUGUGGGGUGCUCGAGUGGCGAACGGGUGAGUAACACGUGAGUAACCUGCCCUUGACUUUGGGAUAACUUCAGGAAACUGGGGCUAAUACCGGAUAGGAGCUCCUGCUGCAUGGUGGGGGUUGGAAAGUUUCGGCGGUUGGGGAUGGACUCGCGGCUUAUCAGCUUGUUGGUGGGGUAGUGGCUUACCAAGGCUUUGACGGGUAGCCGGCCUGAGAGGGUGACCGGCCACAUUGGGACUGAGAUACGGCCCAGACUCCUACGGGAGGCAGCAGUGGGGAAUAUUGCACAAUGGGCGGAAGCCUGAUGCAGCAACGCCGCGUGCGGGAUGACGGCCUUCGGGUUGUAAACCGCUUUCGCAUGUGACGAAGCGUGAGUGACGGUAAUGGGUAAAGAAGCACCGGAUAACUACGUG
rnacentral:rRNA from 1 species